UACGGAGGGAGCUAGCGUUAUUCGGAAUUACUGGGCGUAAAGCGCACGUAGGCGGCUUUGUAAGUAAGAGGUGAAAGCCCAGAGCUCAACUCUGGAAUUGCCUUUUAGACUGCAUCGCUUGAAUCAUGGAGAGGUCAGUGGAAUUCCGAGUGUAGAGGUGAAAUUCGUAGAUAUUCGGAAGAACACCAGUGGCGAAGGCGGCUGACUGGACAUGUAUUGACGCUGAGGUGCGAAAGCGUGGGGAGCAAACAGGAUGAGAUACCGUGUAGUCCAUAUCCAAGUCCUACGUGCCAUGACCCUAACUACACGACCCCGUAAUCAGCGGAG
rnacentral:rRNA from 1 species